rnacentral:rRNA from 1 species
GACGAACGCUGGCGGCGCGCCUAACACAUGCAAGUCGAGCGAUGAAAUUUUAACCGAUCUCUUCGGAGAGAAGAUAAAAUGGAUUAGCGGCGGACGGGUGAGUAACACGUGAGAAACCUGCCUUUCACAAGGGGAUAGCCUCGGGAAACCGGGAUUAAUACCCUAUGACACAUUUCCUUCGCAUGGAAGAAAUGUUAAAACUCCGGUGGUGAAAGAUGGUCUCGCGCCUGAUUAGCUAGUUGGUGGGGUAACGGCCCACCAAGGCCAUGAUCAGUAACCGGCCUGAGAGGGUGAACGGUCACAUUGGAACUGAGACACGGUCCAAACUCCUACGGGAGGCAGCAGUGGGGAAUAUUGCACAAUGGAGGAAACUCUGAUGCAGCGACGCCGCGUGAGCGAUGAAGGCUUUCGAGUCGUAAAGCUCUGUCCUAUGGGAAGAUAAUGACGGUACCAUAGGAGGAAGCCCCGGCUAACUACGUG